GACGAACGCUGGCGGCGUGCUUAACACAUGCAAGUCGAACGGAAAGGCCCUGCUUUUGUGGGGUGCUCGAGUGGCGAACGGGUGAGUAACACGUGAGUAACCUGCCCUUGACUUUGGGAUAACUUCAGGAAACUGGGGCUAAUACCGGAUAGGAGCUCCUGCUGCAUGGUGGGGGUUGGAAAGUUUCGGCGGUUGGGGAUGGACUCGCGGCUUAUCAGCUUGUUGGUGGGGUAGUGGCUUACCAAGGCUUUGACGGGUAGCCGGCCUGAGAGGGUGACCGGGCAGACGGGGAGGGAGAUACAGCCAAGACGCAGACGGGAGGAAGCAGUGGGGAAUAGGGCAGGAUGGGCGAAAGCGUGAUGGAGCGACGGCGCGGGAGGGAGGAAGGAAGGCGGGUUGGAAACAUAGGUCAGCAGGGAAGAAGCGAAAGUGACGGUAGCUGCAGAAGAAGCACAGGAUAAAUACGGG
rnacentral:rRNA from 1 species